rnacentral:misc_RNA from 1 species
CGAUCAGCGGCAUCAGCGCCUCGGCAUGGCCGCGCUUCAUCUCCAGCGUUUCCUGUGCAAUGACCGCUUUCGUGGCGGCAUCGAGCACGGCAGCAGCGCAGAGCAGCGCAGUAGUCCAGCGCGGUAUCGAUGGCGAGAACGAUCAUUCAAAGACCGAGAAGAUGGGCAAGGGUGCCGGCAACGUGCCGCCGAAAAGGCAAAGGGGCAAGCGGUUCGGCGCUUGCC